rnacentral:rRNA from 1 species
UACAGAGGUGGCAAGCGUUGUUCGGAAUUACUGGGCGUAAAGGGCGCGUAGGCGGUCUUGUAAGUCUUGUGUGAAAUCCCUCGGCUUAACUGAGGAACUGCACGAGAUACUGCAAGACUUGAGAUCGGGAGAGGGAAGCGGAAUUCCGGGUGUAGCGGUGAAAUGCGUAGAUAUCCGGAGGAACACCGGUGGCGAAGGCGGCUUCAUGGACCGACACUGACGCUGAGGCGCGAAAGCUAGGGGAGCAAACGGG